rnacentral:rRNA from 1 species
GACGAACGCUGGCGGCGUGCUUAACACAUGCAAGUCGAACGAAGAGCGAUGGAAGCUUGCUUCUAUCAAUCUUAGUGGCGAACGGGUGAGUAACGCGUAAUCAACCUGCCCUUCAGAGGGGGACAACAGUUGGAAACGACUGCUAAUACCGCAUACGAUCUAAUCUCGGCAUCGAGGAUAGAUGAAAGGUGGCCUCUACAUGUAAGCUAUCACUGAAGGAGGGGAUUGCGUCUGAUUAGCUAGUUGGAGGGGUAACGGCCCACCAAGGCGAUGAUCAGUAGCCGGUCUGAGAGGAUGAACGGCCACAUUGGGAAUGAGACACGGCCCAGACUCCUACGGGAGGCAGCAGUGGGGAAUCUUCCGCAAUGGACGAAAGUCUGACGGAGCAACGCCGCGUGAGUGAUGACGGCCUUCGGGUUGUAAAGCUCUGUUAAUCGGGACGAAAGGCCUUCUUGCGAAUAGUGAGAAGGAUUGACGGUACCGGAAUAGAAAGCCACGGCUAACUACGUG